rnacentral:rRNA from 1 species
CACGUAGGGUGCGAGCGUUGUCCGGAAUUAUUGGGCGUAAAGAGCUCGUAGGCGGUGUGUCGCGUCGGCCGUGAAAACCUGCAGCUUAACUGUGGGCGUGCGGUCGAUACGGGCAUCACUGGAGUUCGGCAGGGGAGACUGGAAUUCCUGGUGUAGCGGUGAAAUGCGCAGAUAUCAGGAGGAACACCGGUGGCGAAGGCGGGUCUCUGGGCCGAUACUGACGUGGAGGAGCGAAAGCGUGGGGAGCAAACAGG